AGAGUUUGAUCAUGGCUCAGAUUGAACGCUGGCGGCAUGCCUUACACAUGCAAGUCGAGCGGCAGCGCGGGGGCAACCCUGGCGGCGAGCGGCGAACGGGUGAGUAAUGCAUCGGAACGUGUCCUCUUGUGGGGGAUAACCAGUCGAAAGACUGGCUAAUACCGCAUGAGAUCGAGAGAUGAAAGCAGGGGACCGCAAGGCCCUGCGCGAGAGGAGCGGCCGAUGCCGGAUUAGCUAGUUGGUGGGGUAACGGCCUACCAAGGCAACGAUCCGUAGCUGGUCUGAGAGGACGACCAGCCACACUGGGACUGAGACACGGCCCAGACUCCUACGGGAGGCAGCAGUGGGGAAUUUUGGACAAUGGGGGCAACCCUGAUCCAGCCAUGCCGCGUGUGUGAAGAAGGCCUUCGGGUUGUAAAGCACUUUCGGACGGAACGAAAUCGCGCGGGUUAAUAGUCCGCGUGGAUGACGGUACCGUAAGAAGAAGCACCGGCUAACUACGUGCCAGCAGCCGCGGUAAUACGUAGGGUGCGAGCGUUAAUCGGAAUUACUGGGCGUAAAGUGUGCGCAGGCGGCGCUGCAAGUCGAGUGUGAAAUCCCCGAGCUUAACUUGGGAAUUGCGCUCGAAACUAUGGCGCUGGAGUAUGGCAGAGGAAGGUGGAAUUCCACGUAGCGGUGAAAUGCGUAGAGAUGUGGAGGAACACCGAUGGCGAAGGCAGCCUUCUGGGCCAAUACUGACGCUCAUGCACGAAAGCGUGGGGAGCAAAAGGAUUAGAUACCCNNGUAGUCC
rnacentral:rRNA from 1 species